AAAUUGAAGAGUUUGAUCAUGGCUCAGAUUGAACGCUGGCGGCAGGCCUAACACAUGCAAGUCGAACGGUAACAGAAAGCAGCUUGCUGCUUUGCUGACGAGUGGCGGACGGGUGAGUAAUGUCUGGGAAACUGCCCGAUGGAGGGGGAUAACUACUGGAAACGGUAGCUAAUACCGCAUAACGUCGCAAGACCAAAGAGGGGGACCUUAGGGCCUCUUGCCAUCGGAUGUGCCCAGAUGGGAUUAGCUAGUAGGUGGGGUAAAGGCUCACCUAGGCGACGAUCCCUAGCUGGUCUGAGAGGAUGACCAGCCACACUGGAACUGAGACACGGUCCAGACUCCUACGGGAGGCAGCAGUGGGGAAUAUUGCACAAUGGGCGCAAGCCUGAUGCAGCCAUGCCGCGUGUAUGAAGAAGGCCUUCGGGUUGUAAAGUACUUUCAGCGGGGAGGAAGGGAGUAAAGUUAAUACCUUUGCUCAUUGACGUUACCCGCAGAAGAAGCACCGGCUAACUCCGUGCCAGCAGCCGCGGUAAUACGGAGGGUGCAAGCGUUAAUCGGAAUUACUGGGCGUAAAGCGCACGCAGGCGGUUUGUUAAGUCAGAUGUGAAAUCCCCGGGCUCAACCUGGGAACUGCAUCUGAUACUGGCAAGCUUGAGUCUCGUAGAGGGGGGUAGAAUUCCAGGUGUAGCGGUGAAAUGCGUAGAGAUCUGGAGGAAUACCGGUGGCGAAGGCGGCCCCCUGGACGAAGACUGACGCUCAGGUGCGAAAGCGUGGGGAGCAAACAGGAUUAGAUACCCUGGUAGUCCACGCCGUAAACGAUGUCGACUUGGAGGUUGUGCCCUUGAGGCGUGGCUUCCGGAGCUAACGCGUUAAGUCGACCGCCUGGGGAGUACGGCCGCAAGGUUAAAACUCAAAUGAAUUGACGGGGGCCCGCACAAGCGGUGGAGCAUGUGGUUUAAUUCGAUGCAACGCGAAGAACCUUACCUGGUCUUGACAUCCACGGAAGUUUUCAGAGAUGAGAAUGUGCCUUCGGGAACCGUGAGACAGGUGCUGCAUGGCUGUCGUCAGCUCGUGUUGUGAAAUGUUGGGUUAAGUCCCGCAACGAGCGCAACCCUUAUCCUUUGUUGCCAGCGGUCCGGCCGGGAACUCAAAGGAGACUGCCAGUGAUAAACUGGAGGAAGGUGGGGAUGACGUCAAGUCAUCAUGGCCCUUACGACCAGGGCUACACACGUGCUACAAUGGCGCAUACAAAGAGAAGCGACCUCGCGAGAGCAAGCGGACCUCAUAAAGUGCGUCGUAGUCCGGAUUGGAGUCUGCAACUCGACUCCAUGAAGUCGGAAUCGCUAGUAAUCGUGGAUCAGAAUGCCACGGUGAAUACGUUCCCGGGCCUUGUACACACCGCCCGUCACACCAUGGGAGUGGGUUGCAAAAGAAGUAGGUAGCUUAACCUUCGGGAGGGCGCUUACCACUUUGUGAUUCAUGACUGGGGUGAAGUCGUAACAAGGUAACCGUAGGGGAACCUGCGGUUGGAUCACCUCCUUACCUUAAAGAAGC
rnacentral:rRNA from 2 species